AUUGAAUCGCUGCGGCAUGCGUACUACAUGCAAGUCGACGGUACAGGUCUCGACUGCUACAAUUGCGAACGGGUGAGUAAUCAUCGGAACGGCCAGUCGUGGGGAUAGCUACUCGAAAGAGUAGCUAAUCGCAUACGAUCUGAGGAUGAAAGCUGGGUGACCUUCGGGCCUCGCGCGAUUGGCAGCGGCCGAUGGCAGAUUAGGUAGUUCGGCUGGCGAUAAAAGCUUACCUAAGCCGACGAUCUGUACGCUGGUCUGAGAGGACGACCAGCCACGCUGGGCACUGAGACACGGCCCAUGACUCCUACGGGAGGCAGCAGUGCGGGAAUUUUGGACAAUGGGCGAAAGCCUGAUCCAGCAAUGCCGCGUGCAGGAUGAAGGCCUUCGGGUUGUAAACUGCUUUUGUACGGAACGAAAAAGCUUCUCCUAAUACGAGAGGCCCAUGACGGUACCGUAAGAAUAAGCACCGGCUAACU
rnacentral:rRNA from 1 species